AUCCAACUGAUGAGUCCCAAAUAGGACGAAAUAUGCCCUGAAU
rnacentral:hammerhead_ribozyme from 1 species